UACAUAGGCCCCAAGCGUUACUGAGAAUCACUGGGUUUAAAGGGUGCGUAGGUGGCGCGUUAAGUCCGUUGUGAAAGCCCUGGGCUCAACCCAGGAACUGCUUCGGAUACUGGCGCGCUUGAGGCUAGUAGGGGUCACUGGAACUGACGGUGGAGCGGUGAAAUGCGUAGAUAUCGUCAGGAACGCCAAUGGUGAAGACAGGUGACUGGGCUAGUUCUGACACUGAGGCACGAAAGCGUGGGGAGCGAACGGG
rnacentral:rRNA from 1 species